CGACUGGAGAGGGGGGAUCGCACACUGGACUGAGACACCGACUGAAGAGGGGGGAUCGCACACUGGACUGAGACACGCCCAGACUCCUACGGAGGCAGCAGUAGGAUCUCGCAUACGAAGUCUGACGAGCACGCGCGUGAGUGAUGAAGCUUCGGUCGUAAACUCUGUGUAGGGAGACAGUGCUAGUGAAUAAGCUGGCACUGACGGUACCUAACCAGAAAGCACGGCUAACUACGUGCCACAGCCGCGGUAAUACGUAGGUGGCAAGCGUUAUCCGGAAUUAUUGGGCGUAAAGCGCGCGCAGGUGUUUCUUAAGUCUGAUGUGAAAGCCCACGGCUCAACCGUGGAGGGUCAUUGGAAACUGGGAGACUUGAGUGCAGAAGAGGAAAGUGGAAUUCCAUGUGUAGCGGUGAAAUGCGUAGAGAUAUGGAGGAACACCAGUGGCGAAGGCGACUUUCUGGUCUGUAACUGACACUGAGGCGCGAAAGCUGGGGAGCAAACAGGAUUAGAUACCCUGGUAGUCCACGCCGUAAACGAUGAGUGCUAAGUGUUAGAGGGUUUCCGCCCUUUAGUGCUGAAGUUAACGCAUUAAGCACUCCGCCUGGGGAUACGGCCGCAAGGCUGAAACUCAAAGGAAUUGACGGGGGCCCGCACAAGCGGUGGAGCAUGUGGUUUAAUUCGAAGCAACGCGAAGAACCUUACCAGGUCUUGACAUCCUCUGAAAACCCUAGAGAUAGGGCUUCUCCUUCGGGAGCAGAGUGACAGGUGGUGCAUGGUUGUCGUCAGCUCGUGUCGUGAGAUGUUGGGUUAAGUCCCGCAACGAGCGCAACCCUUGAUCUUAGUUGCCAUCAUUAAGUUGGGCACUCUAAGGUGACUGCCGUGACAAACCGGAGGAAGGUGGGGAUGACGUCAAAUCAUCAUGCCCCUUAUGACCUGGGCUACACACGUGCUACAAUGGACGGUACAAAGAGCUGCAAGACCGCGAGGUGGAGCUAAUCUCAUAAAACCUUUCUCAGUUCGGAUUGUAGGCUGCAACUCGCCUACAUGAAGCUGGAAUCGCUAGUAAUCGCGGAUCAGCAUGCCGGGUGAAUACGUUCCCGGGCCUUGUACACACCGCCCGUCACACCACGAGAGUUUGUAACACCCGAAGUCGGUGGGGUAACCUUUUUGGAUCAC
rnacentral:rRNA from 2 species